rnacentral:rRNA from 1 species
GAUGGACGCUGACAGCAUGCUUAACACAUGCAAGUCAACUUGAAUUUGGGUUUUUAACUUAGGUUUGGGUGGCGGACGGGUGAGUAACGCGUAAAGAACUUGCCUCACAGCUAGGGACAACAUUUGGAAACGAAUGCUAAUACCUAAUAUUAUGAUAAUAGGGCAUCCUAUAAUUAUGAAAGCUAUAAGCGCUGUGAGAGAGCUUUGCGUCCCAUUAGCUAGUUGGAGAGGUAACGGCUCACCAAGGCGAUGAUGGGUAGCCGGCCUGAGAGGGUGAUCGGCCACAAAGGGACUGAGGCACGGCCCUUACUCCUACUGGAGGCAGCAGUGGAGAAUAGUGGACAAUAGACCAAGAGUCUGAUCCAGCAAUUCUGUGUGCACGAUGAAGUUUUUCGGAAUGUAAAGUGCUUUCAGUUGGGAAGAAAGAAAUGACGGUACCAACAGAAGAAGUGACGGCUAAAUACGUG